CGGUGGAGUAUGUGGUUUAAUUCGACGCAACGCGAAGAACCUUACCUGGGCUCGAACGGCUAGUGACAGGUGGCGAAGGUAUGGCUGGUGAUUGGGAUG
rnacentral:rRNA from 1 species